AAGAGUGGUGACGGUGAAAGGUUGACUUCUGUCGGCCCGGAUGAAGGAAAAGCUCGAAAUCCGAGUCGUCUUUUUCAGAUUCAUCCUCAUCAUCCUCGGAAAUGGAAAUGUUUGCUUCACCACCUCCAAAUAGGCGACGGAGGCCAUGUCAAAUAUUACAAAUUGGAUUAAGAUCAUUUUUAGUGAAUAAUUACUUCUCCAAGAAGUGCAGUGAAUAUUUGCUUCUCCAUGAAGUGUUUGGUCUGCAGUAACAUCCAGAUACUGGCUGGACAAGAGAGUAGUUGAUAAGACCCCAAUAUUUAAUUGGAGGUGGGGGUAUGUAUACCUUUAUGAAAUAUUACUGCAGAGACCUACGAAGGAACAAUAACAUCUUGUAUUUAUGAGUUUAUAAUUUUACAAGCAUGUUAUUAAUAGUUAAUUGUUUAAUGUUAUGUUAUUCAUAACAAGUUUUUAGUAAUGUUUUAAUUGUUCAAGAUGAAAACAUGUUUAUGUUUAUACAUAUUUAUAUUUUCAGAUGGGGAGAUCUUACUAUUAACCUACCAUAAGUACCAGAAUGAUUUUAUUGGUUGAUAAGAAGUUAAUGACAUAAUGUUGAUCUCAAGGAGAUGUCCUAAAUAAUUUGAGUUAUUUAACCUAAAGACUGGUUAUUUGUUUAAUAAGUUUCUUAUUGGUUCGUCUGCUUCUCAGAGAGUACAAUAAGUUGUUUAAUGUAUUAUUUUGUAUUGUGAUAUUAAACUUCUUUAUAUUCUUUCAUUCUUAA